CUGCCCUAUGAGGAUUUAAAUGGCCGCGGUAUUUUGACCGUGCAAAGGUAGCAUAAUCAUUAGUUUUUUAAUUGAAAGCUGGAAUGAAAGGUUUAAUGAAAAAAUAUCUGUCUCUGUUUAAAUUAUUUAGAAUUUUAUUUUUAAGUUAAAAAGCUUAAAUACUAAUAGAAGACGAGAAGACCCCAUAGAGUUUUAUAUAUUUAAAUUAAAUGAUUUUUUAGUAUUUAAAAAUUUUUUAUUGUAAGAUAUAUUUAGUUGGGGUGAUUGAAAAAUUUGAUUAACUUUUUUUUUAUGUAACCAUUUAUAUAUGAUUAAUUGAUCCUUAGUUAAAGAUUAAAAGAAAAAAUUACCUUGGGGAUAACAGCGUAAUUUUUUUAGAGAGUUCAAAUUGAAAAAAAAGAUUGCGACCUCGAUGUUGGAUUAAAAUAAAAUUUUGGUGUAGGAGCUAAAGAUUUUAGGUCUGUUCGACCUUUAAAAUUUUACAUGAUCUGAGUUUAAACCGGUGU
rnacentral:rRNA from 1 species